rnacentral:lncRNA from 1 species
UGACUUGAUGAUGACAUGUUGGAUGCACGGAACCAAACAGCACAUGCGCCUCAUAGAAAUAUCCAGUAUUAUGUAUCAGUGUAAUAUUUUCUAUGAAUAAGAAAGGCAAAAAAAGAAGUUAAGCAUAAACUAGCUAUUUGACCUAGCAGUUCCAGCCCUAGGAAUUUAUCUAGAAGAAAUGAAAACAUGCGUUCAAAAAGAUGUAUACAUAAAUGUUCUCAGGAGCCUCAUUCACUACAGGCAACAACUGGAAACAACCCAAGUGUCCGUCAGCUAGAGAAUGGAUAGACCCAUGUGGUCUGUGCAUACAGUGGAGUGCUGCUCAGUUAUACAAAGAAAAGAAACUAUGGAUACCGGCCACAGGAGGGAUGAACUUCAAAACAUUACAGUAAGUGAAAGAAGUAAAACUCCAUGAGGGAAGUUGGUGAGUAUGGACAUGUUUUUGAACUGGCAGAAUUUUACCGUGUUCAUUGGGGUAUUAGGUAUUGAGUCCCUGUUGACCAGGUACUGUGGUAGGUACGGCAUUUAGAGAAAUAAGAAGCAGACACCAGCUCCACUGUGAUGAGACUCACCCGAUCAGCCAUUUCUGAUGAACACUCAGGUCCCCCUGAGGACAGCCUGAGUUUAAAAUCUCUACCACCAAGUGAGGAAGACAAUGAUGAUGCCCAGAUUUUACCAUCACCUGUGCAGGCUCGUCCUGAGGACGACCUGUUUUUAAGAUGCUCACCGCAACAUAAAGAUGAAGAUGAUAAUGAUGAUGGUGAUGUCCAGGUAAGAUCCCCCUUUUUUGUCUUCUACAGCAGUGUUGCUUUCCUGAUUCUUUACUUCUCAAUUAAUUUUGAUUUGAAAACCUGGCAAUGUACAUUAUGUACACUGUACACUAUUGUCUUUGUGGGGCUGGAAUUCAUAAGUGUGUCUUCCCAACUUCUACAUGGUCCGCUAUGCUGCUUCUAAAUGACAACAUCCAGUAUCAACUGGAAUACUGAGGCAUUUUCCACAAUACCAGUUUUCCUCCUUGGAUUAAGCAUUGUACAUUUGCAUAUAAAAUUAAAUUUAAAGGCAAAUUCUGUGAAUAGAAGUCUUGUUUUUCUAUAGCUAUCUUCUGUGCUAGUCUUUGGGGAUUUUGACCUAUGGCUCAAUCACUGUACUGCCUUCUGGUUUUUUUAUCGUUGUCCAGAGAAUA